rnacentral:sRNA from 1 species
ACCGGGGUAUACUUCCCGAGCCUGGCGCAAUGUUCUUAUUACUAGUGCUCUUCCAUACGUGAAUUACGUGCCGCACCUUGGGAAUAACAUUGGGUCUGCUGAUGUUUUCGCAAGAUUUUGUCGAGGACGCGGCAUCCCCACGCUGUAUAUUGGUGGUAUAUGAUAAACUUGCACCGCGUCUAUCUUCCUAAUAUCGAAAAAUUAAAGAAGUGGCUAACUCAAAAGAUUAUCGGGGACUGAUGAAUAUGGCACGACAACAGAGGCCAAGGGUCUAAUCGAGAAAUGUACACCACAAGAGCUGUGUGAUAAGUAUCACGCGAUCCACGCUGAGAUAUAUCAGCGGUUCGACAUCGGCUUUGAUAUCUUUGGCCGGACGACGACUCCGCUUCAGACAGAUAUUACUCAAGAUAUCUUCCGCAAGCUGUACAACAAUGGGUUCCUAAAGGAGCGGAUGACAACUCAACUCUACUGCGAGGAGCACCAGUAAUUCCUGGC